AUUCUAACAUCUUCGACAUGUAUUUUUCUGGAUUCUCCAUGGAUCGAGGACAAUCUCGAGUUACCAACAGUCCUCAGACCUGUCCGGAGAAGCACUAGUAGCAAGCAGAAUAUGUCAGUCAACUGCAAAAUUGAUGUGGCAACCCCAUGAUAGCAGUAGAUCAGGCUUGAUAUGUGCUUAGAGGUUGUGGAUAAUUAGGACAGCAGCGGCAGCAGAAGAUACGGAAGGUAGGAGAUCAGUGUUUGUCCAAAAACGAAGUCGUAAGGAGCAGAGGAUGGUAACAUGCAAUUCCUUGGGAGAGAGCUCCCAUGGCAGCAGGGAGAAGUGAGUUUCUCAUUCAAGUAGCAGAGGAGAGGAGAAGGAUAGCCUUCUAGCAGUACUGUGCAAGACCUGCAGCAUGGCAAUGUAGUAGUAGUAUUUAGCAUGGGAUUAGUAGUCAAUUCUAAUAUUGAAUCUAAUGUAAUGACUAGAGACUUCUAUAUUAGUUUAUAAUCAUGCAGAUAAGCAUAAUCUUAGUUACAUCUUUCUCUUUCUGCAUUGAUGAUUUAGAUUAGCUAAUAGCAAUUCUAAUUAUUUUUUCCUUUGGCAGGCUUCUAUAAGGGAAGAUGGAAACUACAUCAGCUGGAUGAGGGAACAUUGUAGUCUGAUUAUUGAUACCAUUUUAUGAGAACAGAUACUGCCAUCUAUCUUAUCAAACAUGAUUUAGUAACUAUUGAAAUCACUUUAUCAUUGUCAAUAUUGAUUGUAUUUGUGAAGAAAAUUUGAGAAAGAAUCCUAACAUAGGAUUCCUUUAAAUUUUUUACCAGAUACUCAAAAUUAUACAGCAAGUACUCCAAUGCUCCAUCAGCCUGGCAUUAGGUUUGGUGUUGCUGUUUGAGAAGAAGAACAUAGCAUAUCUGUAGCAAAUCUUCCUAUAAUUGGAGGAAGGUUCUGAAGAAAGGUAGGAAAAGUGCAGCUUGUGAUGAGGAACUCCGUCACCAGUCACCUCAACAUCUGAUUCCAACUCAUCUCAAGGUUUUUGGCCACACCUCCACCAUGGGAAAAGAAGAUGAGGUGGCUGCUGUACUCCAUCCUCGGCAUGCGAUCCUCUAUUGUAGGAAAGCAUUUGUUGAAGCUGAAUUGGCUGUGGCUACAUUGAUGCAGUUGAUGAGGACAGAUGAAGAUUUUGUGGAGGUGUGGGGUUUGGGGUCCCAAACUUGUCUCCUAAAGACAUUCUCUCAUCCAAAAUGUCAAACUCACCUACAAACCAUGUGAGAGAAUUAUUUCUUUUUGGUCUUUUCUUUUUUUUUCUUCUUUUCUUCCACUUAUGUGUGGAUGUCAAUUCAAAAAUA